rnacentral:snoRNA from 3 species
UUGCAAGCUUUCCAGCAUGCUUGGGUCUCGGGUGACUCUGUGCGUUUCUGCAGUGCUUGCUAGAAUGUCCUGAAAUGGUUUGAGGCUGUGCCCUAUCUCUUCCUCAGAACAUGGUCCUAGACAUUUCAGACAAUU